UCACACCGGUUUAAACUCAGAUCAUGUAAAAUUUUAAAGGUCGAACAGACCUAAUAUUUUAGCUGCUACACCAAAAAUUAAUUUUAAUCCAACAUCGAGGUCGCAAACUUUUUUUUCGAUUAGAACUCUCAAAAAAUAUUACGCUGUUAUCCCUAAGGUAAUUAUAUCUUUUAAUCACAAAAUAUGGAUCAAAUAUUCAUAGAUAAAUGAUUUUUUAAUAAAAAAAGUUAAUUAAAUUUUCCAAUCACCCCAAUCAAAUAUAAUUUAAAAUUAAAAAUUUCUAUACUAAUAAAUAUUAAUAAUAAAUUAUAUAAAACUCUAUAGGGUCUUCUCGUCUUUCAAAAAAAUUUUAGCUUUUUAACUAAAAAAUAAAUUUUUAAUUAAUUCAAAUAAAGACAGUUAUUUUCUCAUCCAACCAUUCAUUCCAGCUUCUAAUUAAGAAACUAAUGAUUAUGCUACCUUAGCACGGUCAAAAUACCGCGGCCAUUUAAAUACUCAUUGAGCAGGUCAAACCUAUAAUUAUCAAUCAACAGGACAUGUUUUUAAUAAACAGGUGAAAAAUACAUUUGCCGAAUUCCUUUAAUUAACCUUAAAUUCAAAAAAUAAUUCUAAAUAAAAAUUAUACUAAUUUUAUCAUUAUUCCUUAAUAUUAAAAAUUAAAAUUAAAAUUUCAAUAAAAAACUUAUAAAAAUAAAAAUCAAAUUAUAAUAUAAAUAAAUUAUAACACCCUUCUAAUAAUUGACAUUUCUAAUCAUAUAAAUCUAUCAAACUUUUAUUAUUAAUAAAUUUAUACUUUUAAGCUUAUCCCUAAAAAUAUCUAAUAUUACCACUAAAUAAUUUAAAAAAUUAAAUUUUUAAUUAAUAAUAUUUAAAAUUAAAUUUUUUUCUUAAAAAACUAGAUAUAUUUAAAAACGCUUAACAUUUCAUUACAAAAAAUCUAUUAUUAAUAUUUUUGACACAAUAAAAAAAAUAAAUUUUUAACUCUUUUAAAUUCGAGAUAAUAAAAAAUAAAUUAAAAUUAAUUAAUAAACCCUGAUACACAAGGUACAAAAAAUUAAAUUUUCUUAAAAACAAAUUCCUAUAAUUCUCUCACAAUACUAAUAAACUAUCAUAAAAAUCUUUUUUUUCUUUAUAAAUAAUAAAAAUUAAAUUAUUUUUAAUAAAUUAAAAUUAAUUAAAAAUUUUAAUAAUUCAAUAAUU
rnacentral:rRNA from 1 species